UAAUACGUGAGCUAACAGUUCUUACAACAUCUAUACAGAUACAUGCACAGUUCUCCCAUUAUAUUGCAGAACAAAGGCAUCAGAAUACAAUACUACGCAGUUCACUGCUUGUGACAACACACCCAUGACACAGGGCUCGCGCCAUCGUCACCGGUUUUGACGAGACCUGGUUGGACCUCUAGUUGGCGUGACAACUUUGAGAUCCUGAACAUGUAAAACAAUGGUGGUCGUUCUGCAGCUUCUUGCAUUUAAUGCAGCACUGCUCGGACGUCUGCUGGAACCCCUCGGCAGCCAUCCUCUCAGAAACAUGCUGGAAAACAUUUUCAUUUCUCACCAUGCCAUCGAGUUCCCCUUGCACCCUAUCUUCACUGAUGCUACCCAGAAAGUUCGUUGUUGCAGAUCUCGUCCAGUCUGUAUUUUUGGAUAUUCCUCGCCCACCUUGGAUUCACCUGCACUGGGUUGGAGAAUUACAGCGGCUUGAGCGGGCUGGACUUUAUUCCACUGAAGUUAUUAUCCGAUCGUCUUCCAACUCUUCUCACUGCUUGUUGUAUAUCAAAUAAACCCAUUUAAGCUCUUGCACUUGGAUCUCGAGGCUUGAUCAUUGUGACAAUAGGUCUCCUGUUAUUUUCUAAGCUUCUUAAACACAUCUAAGCAUUAGUCCCAGAAGUUGAAGCCAC
ensembl:lncRNA